AUAUUUUUCAAUAAAAAAAUAUUUUCUUAUCAGUUUAAUAUCUGAUACGUCCCCUAUCUGGGGACCAUAUAUUAAAUGGAUUUUUGGAACAGGGAGAUGGAAGAAGAGCUUGCUCUGUCCACUCCACGCAUCGACCUGGUAUUGCAGUACCUCCAGGACCGGUGCACCUCUC
rnacentral:snRNA from 1 species